AAGCGCAUAUAAGCUCACAUGGGUGGCCACAGUUGCACAUGGAUACAGCGAUGAGCCACGUUGGCAUGAGAAAUUCAGCAAGUUCACACUGCGAAGCUACCUAAGAAAAGGAAAUAGCAAGCCGAAGCGCUCUGCAAGAUGAAUGCCCGCACUGUUUAUCUCCUGCUUUUAUCAGCUGCUAUUGCAGGAGCUUAUCCAAGGCACCGGAUCAACGCUGUUUACAAACGCGCACAGCAAUGGCCUGGUGCGGUAAGCCAGUUUCCAACUCUGCCACCUUCCUUUGGAAACAACCCUUGGCUGCCAGGUUCCGGAAGCCAAUGGCCACUAUCAUUACCGCCGUACAACACCAACUAUGGUAGUAAAGUUAUGCCCGGUUCAGCAAUGCAGCAACUUCCAUCCUUGUCCGACAACGGUGGUAACAGUCAACAGGUUCCACUCAGACCUAGGGCACCCGUGCCGCCUUUUGGAAAUAAUGGUUACAACCCACAAUCAAGCCAGCAGUCCCAAUGGCCAUGGCGGCCUGCACUUGUUAGAGAGGAUGACAGCCAAAUAUUGCAAGGAUUACGAAGCCCGCCACCCCUUUUUCCCGUGAACAUCAAUAAAAACAGGGAAUCAGAUCACGUUGGAAUACCACUCCCAUAUCCCUCCGGAAAU